rnacentral:rRNA from 1 species
UACGUAGGGGGCAAGCGUUGUCCGGAUUUAUUGGGCGUAAAGAGCGUGUAGGCGGCUUUACAGGUCCGUUGUGAAAACUCGAGGCUCAACCUCGAGACGCCGGUGGAAACCGUAAAGCUAGAGUCCGGAAGAGGAGAGUGGAAUUCCUGGUGUAGCGGUGAAAUGCGCAGAUAUCAGGAAGAACACCCGUGGCGAAGGCGGCUCUCUGGGACGGUACUGACGCUGAGGAGCGAAAGUGUGGGGAGCGAACAGG